CACNCCGUAAACGAUGAGUGCUAGGUGUUAGGCCCUUUCCGGGGCUUAGUGCCGGAGCUAACGCAAUAAGCACUCCGCCUGGGGAGUACGACCGCAAGGUUGAAACUCAAAGGAAUUGACGGGGGCCCGCACAAGCGGUGGAGCAUGUGGUUUAAUUCGAAGCAACGCGAAGAACCUUACCAGGUCUUGACAUCCCGAUGCUAUUCUUAGAGAUAGGAAGUUACUUCGGUACAUCGGAGACAGGUGGUGCAUGGUUGUCGUCAGCUCGUGUCGUGAGAUGUUGGGUUAAGUCCCGCAACGAGCGCAACCCUUAUUGUUAGUUGCCAUCAUUAAGUUGGGCACUCUAGCGAGACUGCCGGUAAUAAACCGGAGGAAGGUGGGGAUGACGUCAAAUCAUCAUGCCCCUUAUGACCUGGGCUACACACGUGCUACAAUGGUCGGUACAACGAGUUGCGAGCCGGUGACGGCAAGCUAAUCUCUGAAAGCCGAUCUCAGUUCGGAUUGGAGGCUGCA
rnacentral:rRNA from 1 species